AUGCUGUGGGCUCUAGCCCUGCUCCUGGCUUUCCUGGCUCCUGCCAGUCCGAUAUCCUUCAGCUCAGAAGGGAGAACGAUUUCAGUGAGCAGGAGGACUGGGUCUUUGGCUGAAAUCACCUGUGACAUUGUUGACCAAAAAGUCAACUAUAUCCACUGGAGCUGUAAAUUUGAGAUCCAAAAUCUGGAAGAAAGUGAUGCUGGCAUUUAUUACUGUGCCGCCUGGGACAAUCACAGUGGCUCAGUCUCCCCCUCCAUUGCACAUAAUUGUGCUUGCAGCUGCCAGCCCAGCCCUG